rnacentral:rRNA from 1 species
AGUGAACGCUGGCGGCGUGCUUAACACAUGCAAGUCGAACGAGAACGGAUUAUAGCUUGCUAUAAUUGUCAGCUAAGUGGCGCACGGGUGAGUAAUGUAUAGAUAACCUGCCCUCUAGAAAGGAAUAACAGUUGGAAACGACUGCUAAUGCCCUAUAUGCCUUUAAUACAUAAGUAUGCAAGGGAAACGCUUUAGUGCUAGAGGAUGGGUCUGUAUGGUAUCAGUUAGUUGGUGAGGUAAUGGCUCACCAAGACUAUGACGCCUAACUGGUUUGAGAGGAUGAUCAGUCACACUGGAACUGAGACACGGUCCAGACUCCUACGGGAGGCAGCAGUGGGGAAUAUUGCACAAUGGACGAAAGUCUGAUGCAGCAACGCCGCGUGGAGGAUGACACAUUUCGGUGCGUAAACUCCUUUUAUAUAGGAAGAUAAUGACGGUACUAUAUGAAUAAGCACCGGCUAACUCCGUGCCAGCAGCCGCCGUAA